AGUGCAGUUUAUGGCUGUAGAAAAUUCUUUAUCUUCAGUCAAAAUGCUGCUUAUCAAAUCCCAGCAGUAUUACAAAGUGUUCCUAGAAGAGGCUACCAAAAGCAAGUCUGCAGGAAAGGCAUAGUACCAGACUAUGAUCUCCGACAGCGAUUACACCGAGUUUGAAAACUUCUCAAAGUGGUUGGGAGUCUCCCAGUGAGAUUUUUCUGUCUUUGAGUUUUGUCUUGGUAUAAUAUCUUUAUCUAAUUGUUUUGUUUCAAGAGGAGUUAAUUUACUUUUUGUGGCAGUUUUGAGACAAGAUUUGAGUUUGGUGGGUUAUGUUUUAUGACAAGAUGGAUGGAUUUUUCAUUUUAGCAGAUCUGGAAUCAAAAUUUUACAAAUUGUAGUCUCUUACUUAAACACGGUUUGUUAGUUUUUUUUUGAAUGAGAAAUUGAAUUAAUGCUUCAUUUGUUA